AUUACCUGGGGAUCUUGUUAAAAUGCAGAUUCUGGCUCACUAGAUCUGGAGUGGGGCCUAAGAUUCUUCAUUUCUGACAAGUUCCCAAGUAGUGUUGA
rnacentral:pre_miRNA from 1 species